AUCGUGCAGAAAUGUGCGCGCCCUUAUCUGAAAGGACAUGGAGAGAGUGUCGCAGACUCGAGGUGAUAAGAUAAACCUCGGCGCUGGACGGCCUGCGCGUUACCUAUGUGCAUCUUUUCAAUGACAUCAGGUGAACCCAUAAUAAGCAUUUCUAUGUCUUAGACAUCUUCGGUCCCGUGAAGGCUGAAGAUGCGAUGAUGAAUUAAUUUCUUACGGAAACUGGAACUAGUGUUCUAGUUUGUGUUUAACACGGACUCUUUAGUGCGCUGCACACUCGCUCUCUCAGCCCGCGGGUUUCGGAACAAGAAGAAAGGAGAAAAAAGAGCACAAGCGCAUCGUUAAAGCCGACUAACGUGAAAACACGUGACAAGACGAAGGUAAGCGGUACGGUUUGGUGACGUCACAGUGGACUCCAGCGUCAUGACUUUAACAUUGAACAAAUCCGGUCCGCACAGGCUCAGAGACAGACCUCAUCCUUUUACUUUAACCAUGAAACAUGAAGCUGUCGCUCAUGAGACAGGAGCUCAGCUUUCAGCGUCACAGCUGGAACAACAUCAGCUGACAUGAAAGACACACAGACGUUUGUUCCCUGUUAGCAAAGAUGAAGAUGGAGAGCGUGAGGGAACUACAGAGAGGAGGAGGAGGACACGAGCUGUGAGGGACGCAGUGGACCAGCCCUCAGACCUACAUCAGCAGGAGCGAGGACGACCCCCCCCCCCCCCCCCCCCCCCCAGUGUGCGGACGUUCCCACCACAUGAAUGGGGGACAGGAGGCGCAGCUUCCAGCCCAGCUGGUAGGAAAGUCCUCCUUGGGUGGACUUCUCUGUAACUAUGGACUCGUGCAUGCAGACGUUUCAGUCCACAGUGAUGUCAGUCAGUGCUUUUUAAAGAUGUGCAGGAUGUGAAAUCUUCAGUUUGAUUGUUAAAUGUUCGUUCACUUUGUUUGUGCUUCAAAUAAAUUCACUUCAUGGAUGAAACAGUU
ensembl:lncRNA